ACGGAGGGUGCAAGCGUUGUUCGGAAUUACUGGGCGUAAAGGGCGCGUAGGCGGUUUGAUAAGUCAGAUGUGAAAGCCCACGGCUUAACUGUGGAAGUGCAUUUGAAACUGUCAGACUUGAGUACCAGAGGGGAAAGUGGAAUUCCCGGUGUAGGGGUGAAAUUCGGAGAUAUCGGGAGGAGUACCGGUGGCGAAGGCGACUAACUGGAUGGAUACUGACGCUGAUGCGCGAAAGCGUGGGGAGCAAACAG
rnacentral:rRNA from 1 species